CGACGAGUGAGCAUCUCAAUACUAAUAGACACACGCUCCGCGAGUAAAAGAGAAGAGUUAAUAAUUAAAUGCAGUAGUGGGGAUACUCUGCCACCCGUAAAGUGAUAUAAGGCGGCCGCCUUUGACAGUAGGUCCAGUCAUGCCACGAAUUUCCACCAUACACAUAUGAAUCCACGUGAAUGAAACGGGGUGGUGGGGAUGGUCUGCCACUCGGAGGAGAUAUAAGGCGGCCGUCUUUGACAGUAGGUCCAGUCAUGCCACGAAUUUUUACCAUACACAUAUGAAUCCGCGUGAAUGAAACGGGGUGGUGGGGAUGGUCUGCCACUCGGAGGAGAUAUAAGGCGGCCGUCUUUGACAGUAGGUCCAGUCAUGCCACGAAUUUUUACCAUACACAUAUGAAUCCGCGUGGUACGCACGCUCCGC